rnacentral:rRNA from 1 species
UACGUAGGGUGCAAGCGUUGUCCGGAAUUAUUGGGCGUAAAGAGCUCGUAGGCGGUUUGUUGCGUCGGCUGUGAAAUCCCCGAGGCUCAACCUCGGGUCUGCAGUCGAUACGAGCAAACUAGAGUGUUGCAGGGGAGACUGGAAUUCCUGGUGUAGCGGUGAAAUGCGCAGAUAUCAGGAGGAACACCGGUGGCGAAGGCGGGUCUCUGGGCAACAACUGACGCUGGAGGAAGCGAAAGCCGUGGGGAGCGAACAGGA